rnacentral:rRNA from 1 species
GACGAACGCUGGCGGCGUGCCUAAUACAUGCAAGUCGAGCGAUGAAGAAUGGUGCUUGCACCAAUUUGAAGAGCAGCGAACGGGUGAGUAACGCGUGGGGCAUCUGCCUUUGAGCGGGGGACAACAUUGGGAAACGAAUGCUAAUACCGCAUAAUAACUUUAAACAUAAGAUUUAAGUUUGAAAGAUGCAAUUGCAUCACUCAAAGAUGAUCCCGCGUUGUAUUAGCUAGUUGGUGAGGUAAAGGCCCACCAAGGCGAUGAUACAUAGCCGACCUGAGAGGGUGGUCGGCCACAUUUGGACCUAGACACGGCCCAAACUCCUACGGGAGGCAGCAGUAGGGAAUCUUCGGCAAUGGACGGAAGUCUGACCGCGCAACGCCGCGUGAGUGAAGAAGGUUUUCGGAUCGUAAAACUCUGUUGGUAGAGAAGAACGUUGGUGAGAGUGGAAAGCUCAUCAAGUGACGGUAACUACCCAGAAAGGGACGGCUAACUACGUG